GAUGAACGCUGGCGGCGUGCCUAAUACAUGCAAGUCGAGCGAACGGACGAUAAGCUUUCUUCUCUGAUGUUAGCGGCGGACGGGUGAUUAACACGUGGAUAACCUACCUAUAAUACUGUGAUAACUUCGGGAAACCGUAGCUAAUACCGGAUAAUAUUUUGAACCGCAUGGUUCAAAAGUGAAAGACGGUCUUGCUGUCACUUAUAGAUGGAUCCGCGCUGCAUUAGCUAGUUGGUAAGGUAACGGCUUACCAAGGCAACGAUGCAUAGCCGACCUGAGAGGGUGAUCGGCCACACUGGAACUGAGACACGGUCCAGACUCCUACGGGAGGCAGCAGUAGGGAAUCUUCCGCAAUGGGCGAAAGCCUGACGGAGCAACGCCGCGUGAGUGAUGAAGGUCUUCGGAUCGUAAAACUCUGUUAUUAGGGAAGAACAUAUGUGUAAGUAACUGUGCACAUCUUGACGGUACCUAAUCAGAAAGCCACGGCUAACUACGUG
rnacentral:rRNA from 1 species